AUUGAACGCUGGCGGCAGGCCUAACACAUGCAAGUCGAACGAGUGGCGGACGGGUGAGUAAUGUCUGGGAAACUGCCUGAUGGAGGGGGAUAACUACUGGAAACGGUAGCUAAUACCGCAUACCAUCGGAUGUGCCCAGAGGGGAUUAGCUAGGAGGGGGGGUAACGGCUCACCUAGGCGACGAUCCCUAGCUGGUCUGAGAGGAUGACCAGCCACACUGGACCUAGGACACGUUCCAGACUCCUACGGGAGGAAGCAGUGGGGAAUAUUGCCCAAUGGGCGCAAGCUGGAUGCAGCCAUGCAGCGUGUAUGAAGAAGGCCUUCGGGUUGUAGAGUACUUUAAGCGGGGAGGCGUUACCCGCAGAAGAAGCACCGGCUAACUCCGUGCCAGCAGCCGCGGUAAUUC
rnacentral:rRNA from 1 species